AGCAGCCGCGGUAAUUCCAGCUCCAAUAGCGUAUAUUAAAGUUGUUGCAGUUAAAAAGCUCGUAGUUGAAUUUCGGGACUAGUACGCUGGUCAUGCCUUUGGUAUGUACUGGUGUUACUGGUUCCUACCUUCUGACGAACCGUCAUGUCAUUCAUUUGGUGUGGCGGGGAAUCAGGACUGUUACUUUGAAAAAAUUAGAGUGUUUAAAGCAGGCUCGCGCUUGAAUACAUUAGCAUGGAAUAAUGAAAUAGGACGUUUGAUCCUAUUUUGUUGGUUUCUAGGAUUGACGUAAUGAUUAAUAGGGAUAGUUGGGGGCAUUAGUAUUCAAUUGUCAGAGGUGAAAUUCUUGGAUUUAUUGAAGACUAACUACUGCGAAAGCAUUUGCCAAGGAUGUUUUCAUUAAUCAAGAACGAAAGUUAGGGGAUCGAAGACGAUCAGAUACCGUCGUAGUCUUAACCAUAAACUAUGCCGACUAGGGAUCGGAUGAUGUUAUUUUUAAUGACUCAUUCGGCGCCUUACG
rnacentral:rRNA from 1 species